rnacentral:rRNA from 1 species
CGGGGCCGCACAAGCAGCGAGGUAUGUGGUUUAAUUCGAGGCUACACGAAGAACCUUACAGGGUUUGACAUGCAAGUGGUAGGAAUCCGAAAGGUGACCGACCCUUCGGGGAGCUUGCACAGGUGCUGCAUGGCUGUCGUCAGCUCGUGUCGUGAGAUGUUCGGUUAAGUCCGCUAACGAGCGCAACCCUCGUCGUGUGUUAUACGUGUCACACGAUACUGCCGGUAUCAAGCCGGAGGAAGGUGGGGAUGAUGUCAAGUCAGCAUGGCCUUUAUAUCCUGGGCUACACACACGCUACAAUGGCAGAUACAAUAGGUUGCGAAACCGCGAGGUGGAGCCAAUCCUCAAAGUCUGUCUCAGUUCAGAUUGUAGGCUGCAACUCGCCUGCAUGAAGUUGGAGUUGCUAGUAAACGCAGGUCAGCUAUACUGCGUUGAAUACGUCCCGGGGUUU